AGGACCGCUGUCGGUGGUCACUGGUGGCGAAGCACCGCCCCAAUUAUGGUGCUACGAAAGACCGAGUUGAUCCCCAUCCUCUUAAAGGUAUCAAGAGUCCUCAUCGAAAAACCUAUCUCAGCCUCUCACCUAGUGAUAAGCCUCCCUAACAUUGAGGACUCCUCGAAAGGGUAAGCUUCUCCUUUCAUGUCUUCUUCACUCGCGAUGCAGGCUUCUCCUUCUAUGUCCUCUUCACUUAUGGUCUCUUUCAUUGAGGGACCCAUGGUAUGGUUUUAUGUGCGAACAACCUUCUUCCCAUGGAUGUAGCAUUGCAUCCAACGAUGUCACCACCCCUUACAAAAUCUGGUCUAGUUACUAUUGGAAUUCUAGUCGUUUCUUCCCAUAAUAGUGUUCCCAAAUGGCAUGCUCGUCAUCGUUGCUGGUGUUUUCCUCCUUAACUAGAGUUUGGGAGUUUAGGCCAUGAUCAACCUUGGAACAUGACUUGUAAUUGGAAAAGAUCAAUUUUACUAUCAUUCAUAUUUGGAUAAAAAUUUAUAAUCUUCCUUUAUUUAUGUAGAUUAAGUUCAUUAAUUUGAAACAUCUAUUUAUGGAUCAUUUGAUUGGUAAAAAAAAAGCAUAUUGGCAUUGCAAAAGUUUAAAUUGAGGUAUCUGCUUCUUUAGAUCUCUGUGAUAUUCUACGCAUAGCUCUCAACAAUGCUAAAUACUAUAUUAUUAUGUCUGAGUAUGAUCGGAAGCUAGUAAGAUACUCACGUUAUUGUAUCUCUGGUCAUACAACUAGGUAUUACUCUAAAUAUGUAUCAUCAACUAAAUGGGUUCUUAAGAAACCUAUGGAAAUUAUACCCACAACUGCUGAGGAUAUUGCCCCUUUUAUGUGUAACGUGGCUUCUAAUUUUUUUAAUUUUUUGAUGAUUGUAUCUAUUUCUAAUAUUAUUACUUUGCCUUACAAAUCUCAUGUAGUCAAUACUGAAUGGAAGCUUAUUCUUGGAUCAUGUAAUCUUGUAUGGAAAAUGUGGUUACAUAGCAUGAUUUAACUAAGAAAUCUAUACCUUUGUAUGAGAAGCCCAUAUUGGUACCUCAUUCUAAUAGGUUUGAUGUUCCUAAUUAGGAUAAUGAGGAUGAUGUCAAUGAGGUAACGGAGGAUAAGCCUCACAAUUCUGUUUUUGUUAAUUUACAAUUGAGUGUUAUAAAACAAUGAGCCUUUAAGAGACCUGACCUGCAGACAUUACUAGGGUGAGCUCUUCUACUCUUCCUUCAUGAUUAACAAUGGUAUGUAAAAUAUUUGGGGACUCAACACCCUUUCAAAAUAGGUUGUUGUACGGUCCUCUUUACACUUUCAUUAUCUAGAUUAUUUAUCUUUGGACCUCGUGUUCAACACUCUAAUGCUACUUACAUAGCCUCUCAAAUUUCUAUAGAUUGACAUAUAUAUACUAAUUCAAAUAUUAAUAAUUAUGCUCACAUUUGGUAUUUAUGGAACUCUUCUUCUACUGUUGAUCUAUAGAGCAUUAGUGGUUCACUCUUUGACUAAUCAAGUUAUUUCUUGCAUAUUAUAUUUCAAGCCUUUGGAUAAUUAUUCUAAUUUCUCUAUAGUGUUCAUAUUUAUUAUAAAUAGAUUUUAUUGAUUUCUCAUAGUCUUUCACAAGGCUUUGGUUUGUUAUCGAUGACUUUAAGAUAAUUUUUUACCCUCAUGAAAAGAUUGGGAGUAAACUUGUAAGAUCUUAAGUGUUACUCAAAUUUUAGAUUAUUUACAUAAACUUUUUUAUAAAUUCUUCAAUUAUUGGUCUAAUAAUCCUGAUUUUUAUAAGAUUAUUAAAAAUGCUUGACUUGCUCCUAUUUUAAAUAAUUGAUAUUGAGCUCCUAUAUGAAUGUGUACUCUUGUAUAUAAACUAAAAGGAAUCAAGGUCAAAUUGAAGGAAUGGUCAUGUUAAAUUAUAAAACUUCGAUUUGUGACUCCCUUAAUUAGAGAGGAGUUACAUAAUAUGAUAUUUUUUAUUAUGGAUAAUUCUUCUAACAAGUUCUUUUUAUAUCUAAGAGUCACAGCUCAGAUUUCUACUACAUGAAGAAGAGAUUUGUGAGUUUCUUUUAAUAACUCUAACAAUGCUUAUUUUCAUUGUCUUUUUAUACUCAGUGAAAAGGAAAUAAUACUUAUUCUAUCUUGAAUGAAGUGGGUUAGCUUCUGCGGGAUAAUUCUCUAUAUGAUCAAGCUAUCUGGUUCUAUCAGAAUCUUCUUGCCCCUCCCCUUAUUAAGAUUUCAUAUAAUCUUGUUUCUAUCUUUAAGACUACACUAGUAAACUCCUCUCUAAACGUAUCUUAGAAGUUGAAAUUUAAGAGGCUGUUUUCAACUCUAAGCCUCACAAAGCACCAAAGUUAGAUGACUUAAAUACUUACUUCUUUCAAACUUGUUGAUAUAUUAUCAAGAAGGAUCUUGUUACUAUCUAAAGUUUUUUACAAGCGACAAAGCACUUGGUGAUGUCAAUGUUAUUUCUCUUACUAGAGUCAAGAAGGUGCAGAACCCAUAGAAUUUUAUUGAUUUUAUAUCAUUUUCAUGAGCAAGUUGUUUAUGACUUUAUUUCCAAGUUCAUAGUGAAUAGAAUUCUAAAAUUAUUAAUGUCAACCAAUAUACUUUUAUUAAGAAUAGGCUCAUUCAUGAGAAUAUCAUCAUGAGAUUAUAUAAUUACCAUACUACCAAAGGUGCCUCUUGUAUGAGCUUGAAGAUUGAUCUUGUUAAUGACUUAGUCCACUUAUAUUUUCUUCUUUAGGACAAACUUUGAUUUCUAACCUAAUUUGUUGGAUAGAUCAUAUCUUGCAUUUUAAAUCUAAUAUUUACUAUCAAUAUUAAUAGCUUUAAUAUGAGUUUCUUUCAAAAAUCUCGAGGACUUUGUUAAGGAUGCACCCUGACAUCUUAUAUUUUCAUGAUCGUUAUACAAAAUUUUUCUAAUAUGUUAAAUAAUACUAUUUAGGAAGGUCUUCUAACUCUACAUAAAUUUUACGCUUCUUCAUUGAUUAAGUUUGUUUAAUAUUCAAGACUUUGUGCAAGUACAUAUAAAUCUAUUUAUAAGCUUGUUCAAAUACCAAUUAGAAGUAUUCUAGUCAAAUGUUUUGGAUUUCUCUUAUUACAAAAAAAACUAUCAUUUAGAGACCACCUACCUCUUAUUAUUUCUAUCCUUUCACGAAUAUAAAUUUGGACAUCCAAGGUUAUUUCUUAUGCGAUGCAAUUUGAACUAUUAUUAUUAUCAUCAUCAUCAUUAUCAUCAUCAUCAAUAGAAAUUAAAUGCAACCAAAUCAGCAUAAACUAAAUGCAUAAUGUAUUCAAAAGAUGUGCACUUUAACGGCAAUCUUAUAAAUACAAUCUAUCAAUAAACAAUUAAUAGAAACUUUAUAACAACAACGUGAACUAUAAGUGUAUUAGGGAUCUACUAAAAACAGUAUAAUAUGAAACAUAGUUUUUGUUUCUGAACAACUUAAUCCUCUUAAUUAAAUUAGAUAUUUAUUCAAACAAGUUACUAUAAAAUUUUUGCAGAUAUUUUAGAAUGGGUUAAGCGUCCUAUUAAAUCUUUAAUUAAAACCUAGUAGAAAGAACAAGCCGCAGUGUUAGAUCAGUAAAACAAAAAAAAUACAUAUUUCUAGAAAUCAUUAUUAUAAUUAUUUUAAAAUAAUUUAUGAAGUCGAGAAAGGAGAAUUUCGAAGCAUUAAGGUUGCUACAAGAUACGACUAGGGCUCUGUAUAUAAAAACAUUGCAAAGCAAGGUUUAAUUCUCUGGACAUUAAUACAAACUUGAUGUCUUAGAAUAGUUCUCUUUAAAUAUGACAGCGAUUAUUUUGUUUUGUUUUGUUUUUUUCUUCUUCUUUUUUUUGGCUGUGAAAAUUUAUUGGCCAUUCUUAAAUAAGAUCCGAAUCCCUUUUAAUCUGAUUUUUGAUGGAUUCAAUAUGGGUCCGGAGGCGAUAAUUAGGAAGGUUUGAGUUCAGAUUCAGAAACAGGUAAUGGAUUGUGAUUCCUACUUGUGUUGACUACAAGUCGACCCUGCUCGAUAAUUAAUAUUCUAGCCAGUGGAUGCAUGAAUAAUUUUUCUGUGUCAUACAGAAAUUUGUGACGCCAAUGCGUCUAUGUUCCCAUCAUUUAGUACGUUGACAAGGCCUUACCUAUAUACCUCGCUCCGUCAAAUUUGGCUAACUCCACAAAUGAAACCAAGAUAGCUUCAUGUCUUGCUGGCGCAUAUCAUCUUCUCUCAUUGCCUAGAUUUGGAGAUCCAAAAUAUCACAAUUGCAUUCACCUUUUAGGUGGCAUUUUGGAUCACUACUUCUAGCCCUUUAUUGCAUUGCCAAAUAUAGAGAGAUCCAAAGUGCAGGAUGUGUUUGUUUUACUUAGAUAUAUUGCCUGCCCAUAACUACUCAUAGAUCUAUGAAUGCAAAAACAGCAUUUGGUCAAAGUCAAUUUGAAUUAUCUCUAUGUAAGACAAUACAUAAGUAAUGGACAACUUAGGAGAGCAUAUUCAUUUGCAGGGAAUAUGUAUGACUUGUAUUCUAAGAUCAAACAGAAGAUUUUUUUUAUAAAAAAUUAAUUUAAAAUAAUUUUAGGAGGAAGACAUGAUAAGAAUGCGAAUAUGAUCUUAAAAUUAAGUAGUUUAUUUGGAACAUAUUUUGAGGAUAUUAUUUGCUAACAAUGUUUGUAUUCUAAAGAAGUUUAACACAAAUUCAUAUGAUUCGAAAGAUAUGGUUUAUCGUCCGAAUGACGGAAUAAUAUAACCAACUAGUCCUAAGCCCUUUGUCAUACAAUUGUUCAAAGUCUAUGAAAUUUUUAUUUAUAAUUUGUAUUGUCAAGUAAAUGCUUGUUGAAAUAUUUAUUUAUAGGAUCUCAAAAUAGAUAUUUUUUAAUUCAUCUUCUCUUUUUAUAGUUCUUCUAAAGAAGAGAUUUUGAAAAAAAAUGACUCUUCGUAAAGAUAUCAUAUGAUUUAGAUAAAAUCAAUUAAAUCUGUAUAAUGUGAUAUUUAUAAGUUUUCACGUUAUUGCUGGUUAAUGAUAUUUUUAUAUAAAAUAGACAAUCCAUGUGAUUUAUCUUUCAACCUUUCCCGGCCAGCAUUAAGUAGUACUGUUGCACUGCUGUCCUUGAAUGUUGGCUGCUACCGACCGUCGCAUCUGAAACAUGUACCGGCUCUGCUGUGGCGAAAUGGGUAAAUGGUCCCAAUGAAGGAAGAAAAAAAACAACUGUGUAGGUGUAUAAGAAGACAUCACGGUCAUCAACUUGUUUGCAAGUAAAGCUGUUCCUCUCCUGGUGGUGGCUCAAAUGGAAUCUGAAUCCACUGCUAUAUCUCGUUAUCAGGUCCGGCAAACAUAACUUGGUCAUCCUUUUCUUAAUAAGUGGACAACCACAGCAGGUGAAGGAGGGGUCUACUUCCCCAAGUGCUACCAUAUAAUAAAAAUAAUGAUGCAUGCUUCCAGUAACAUCACUGUAACCUAAUUUUUCGAAGGUCAUACAUGCUUGGGUCCCUCCCUCCCACCCUCCCUCCACUUGUCAUCUAGGUGACCAUGCCACUUGAUCCUAGAGUCUGGUGUUCCAUUGCAGGAGUAGACUUGUCCCCUCCCUCUCAUUCUUUGCUUUCAUCUUCGCUCUAUAUUGUUAUCCCUUUGCUGUUUGUGCAAUUUAGGGUGGGUGUAAUCGACAACAGGAAAAGAAGAAAGCGAUUUCAUCUUCUUGUCAGCAAUAGAUAGAGUGCUGAGUUGGGGACGCCCUAACUAGGAAGGUUUAUUCCUGAUAUUUAAUGACGCGGUCAGACAUUAAGUGGCAUCCGCUAUCAUAAUUGACAUUAUGACCUUUCGUCUUAUUGCUUUCCAGCCACGGUUCUCAGAGUGAUGCUCUACAAACCCAGAGCCACGUUUCAAUACAUUAGGGAGAAAGGAAGGCUUCAUUUAAAUUUAUUUCAAGUUAACUCUAACGUAUUGAAAACAAUAUAUAUAUAUAUAUGUAUAUAUAUUGAGGGGUUUAUGACUUGGCAGUACACAACCCAACUUUAAUUUGAGCAUUAAAAUUUUCUUUUCAAAGAGAUUUGUUUAUAAAACAAGUAGACAAUGCGAAACUCAAGUAUUGUUCAUGUUUAUGGAUCGUAAGAUGUGACAUGUUUUUCCAUUUGGUCCAACAAAGAAAGCAUCUAGGGUAGGAAGAUCACUGUAGAAAAAUGAAAGAUGAUCUAAAUAUGAGCAAGUGGGUCAGUGAGUUUGUCUUCAUCCUCCUUAUGAUUGAAUACUGUCUGCACGACUGCUAUAUAGGCUCAACCUAAUCGAUUUUGCACCCACAUAACAAGGAUUAGAAAAAGAUCACAAUUCUCCUAACCAUUAAUUUCCUCCAUAUCAUUAACUACAGUGAAGGAUAUUUAUUUCCCUUCGAUUUUUGUCACGUUUUGUCCUGAUUAGGGUGUCGGUUCUGUGUAUUUUUGAGCUUUUUUAUUUUAUUUCGUGAAGUUUCAAAGGGUCUUAUCAAAAUAUUAAUUUCUCCUGUGGAACUCCAGGACAAUAGAAUUGAAACCGGGGUCCCACUGUUUGCUUGGCAUUCUGUGGCCCUUUCCAAUUCAUGGGCCAUUCAGCCUCACAAAUGACAACGGAGAUCCAAAUGAGACUUCCUACAAGCUUAGCUGCUGUAUUUUUAUCAGAUUGGACAACACACAAAGUGAAACCUCCGUAAAUGUGAUGAGAAAGAACGUCAAAUCCUGUAGCAUCCUCAGGGAGGAUUAAUUUCAUAUCUUUUGGCUACAGGAAGUAUACUUAUGAGUGACUUCUUCUCACUCUCUCUAUGCAUAUAGCACCCAUGGAACAUCAAAGUUCUCGGUCCUACAACCUCCAUAUAUAUCAAACUAUUACCAGUUCCAGACGAUGGUAGGAGGUAUCCAACUUGAAUAUUCCCCAUGGAAGUCCCACUCCAGUUCAUCACUUGGAGAAGAGGUCCCCCAAACUAGUGCAUGGUAGCAGGUCAACUCCAUGGAUCUUUCUAUAACUAGAUCUUGUCCCCCUGCCCUUCUAGUAAUGAUAACUCACCUUGACAACAUCCUCCAGCAGCAGUAGGAAUCGUUGGGUCGAGAUAGUACUGAGACUGUACUAAUUAGUGCUAUCAACGCCAUUGCCCUUCUCGCAGAAAAUGCUUGGUGACUAGACUAACCAUACACAGGAUCAUAUGAGAGGAGAGAAGGACGCCAACUCUAAAAGAUUUGGUGGUUUGGCCAAGUAAACCUACGUCCAUUCGUUAGGCUAUACUGCUUGAGUUCAUUCUUAGCCAACCACAAUUACCUCAUUAGAUAUAUCUUCUGUCCACUAAACUUUUUAACACGAUAGGACAAACUUUAUAAUAAAACUCUCUCUCUCUCUCUCUCUCUCUAUAUAUAUAUAUAUAUAUAUAUGUCUCACACACCCCUGUGUAUAAUGAGUGCUAAAGCCAGAUGAAUAUGGGCAUGUGAAACUCUGCGACACUAUUGCAGGCUGGGCUUUGUAUUGAAUGAUGUAAAUGUAUUGGAAUGUAAGCAAAAAUAAAUUCUUUUUUGCUCUGAAAAAAAAACGGCUAGUUGGCUUGUUGCUUUUUAGAUAAGAACUAAAACAUCACCAACUCCAAGCAAGUCAUGUCAAGUGUGAAUCAAUUAAUAGCUAGAAACAUGAUCAGUAAAAGCACCAGUACAAAAGAAGCACAUAUCUAACGACUAUACUGAGGAGGGUUACUGUUAUGGUAAGUGCUCGAAUGUAGUCAACUUUAGAGAAGCUACAAUCGCAGAGAAUAGGAACUGUCCUGCUUUUGAAUGUGGUUUGAGAUGGUACAAGUACCAUCGACGAAACAGUUAAUUUUAAUACAGUGAAGGCUCUACUUUCAAUUAUGCUAAUGAAAAUAUGCAACAUCAUUCUUGUCAAUAUCUAUAUUAUGAAAAUUUUAUUAUUUCAUCAUGAUAUUUUGCAAAUUAUUUCAAUUUUAGUUCUUCAAGGAUUAAAUAAGAUGGUAUUGAUCAAUGGAUGGAAGAAUCAUUUUAAGUUUUAUUAUUAACGAGUUUUAAGCAUUUUUUUCUUUCCUAAAAUUUUAUCUUUUUAAAUUUGGUUAAUGAUUCAUUUUAACCUAUGUGAUUUUGAUCAUGGACCACUUAUACUCUUAUAGUUUAUUCAUAUCUAAAAUAACCCUUAUAUUAAAAAAAAUAUAGUAUAUAAACAUCUUCCGUCAACUUUAUUUAAUAAACGUUAAAGUUUACUUACAAUACUGAUUUAUAAUAAACUAUUAACAUAAUGAUACGUAUAAUUUAAGUUUAUAAAAAGGAUUCAUUUUAGUCUUUGUGAUUUUGGUCAUGAACCAAUUAAACUAUUAUGGUUUUAUUUGUGUCUAAAAUAACACAAAUUUAAUUUUAAAAAACAUAGCAUAUAAGUUACUUUUGUCAAGUCUGAGUUAAUAGAUGUUAAAGUCUACUUACGUGAUAUAUUGACUCACAAUAAAUUAUUAAUAUAAUAAUAUAUAAUUUAAGUUUAAAAUUUUUUUUAUCUUAUCGAGGAAGAGAAAGCGACGGAGGCUAUAGCGAUGGACAAAGGCAAAGAGACAAAGGUAGGAGAGGCCGGAGACAGAGGUGAGGGAGAGCUAGUCCACCACAUCGGAAGUGUGACGGGUGAGGGCGUAGGAGAGGAGAGUACGAAGUGGGAGGUGGCGGGGACGAAUAUACCAAGGAGGAGAAAGAGAGACUAGGAGACCAUUGUAUGUCUAGUGUUGGACUGGUCAACGCAUAUCUACCAUAGGUAGGACUGGAAGCUCCUGAGCUUAUCGUGCGUAUGACGCCCUACUAAAUAGCAACAACUCGAUGUUGUUGCUGGUGGUGGCUACCAUGAUGAUGCCUCCUCCCAUCAUUAAUGGUGGUAUCAAUUUUUUCGAUUUAAAUUAUAUAUAUUAUUAUACUAAUAGUUUAUUAUGAAUCAACAUGUCACGUAAAUAGACUCUAAUAUAUAUUUACUUAGACUUAACCAAAGGGGCUUAUAUAUUAUUCUUUUGAAAAUAUAUGAAUCAUUUUAGAUAUGAGUAAAAUCGUAAAACUUAAAUGCUCAAUAACCAAAACCACAAGGGCUAAAAUAGAUUUUUUUUAAUUUAAAUUACAUGUGCUAUUAUAGUUUAUAAUGUUAAUGUUAGGAUCAAGAGCGACACUAAGAGGGGGAGGGUGAAUUAGUGUAGUGGAAAACUUUCACGAUUUCAAAAGUCUAUGUUUCGAUUAGAAUCGAUUCCAAUGAAAAUUGUUUCGUAAGGAGUUUAACUUGAAAGCAUAUGUGAGUGUAGAGAAGGCAGUAAGAAGGUAAUGUAGCUUGCAGUAAUGAAACUUGCACAAAUUGAAAAGCAAAUCAGAAUUUAGAGUGGUCCGGUCUUUGUGACCUACAUCAACUUUCGGAUUCCUCCUCUGUCAAGGUCACCGGCGUCUACUAGAGGUCUUCCUUCAAUAGGCGAAUACCAAUCACCUCUUACAGCGCUUUCUCCUUUUCACGGGUUUAGGAGAAAACCCUUAUAAGUCUCACACCUCUCUAGAAUGAUCUCAAAACUUGGAAAGAGAGGAAGAGAACUCCAGCACUUAUUUAUAACACUUUUACACCCCAACAACUCAAGAUUAUCUCAAUGCUUUCAUGCCCUUUUAUGCAGAAAAAGGUGGGAUUUUUAUAGGCUUCAAUAGCUUUAAAAAUGGAGUUAAAAAGUAUUUAAUUCUAGAUUUUCGAGGUCCUAGCGAUACCACCGCCAUUACUGGGCGAUACUACUGCCUGCAGUCUGACACUAGGCGGUACCACCGCUUAGUCUGGAUGGUACCACCGCUUGAUAGAGCUCAGAGACCGAGCUCUAGCGGUACCACCGCCUGACAAGAGCGGUACUACCACUGGCAGCAAUAACUACCGACAGUACCACCACCCAGACCACCUAGGGUGUUGCUUUCCAAGCGAUGCGACCACUUCCCUGGUGGUGCCACCACCGGCUAGGAAUUCAGCAUCUUGGUUGGGCCUUGACUCUGGCCCAAACUAGCCCAACUCGAGCCCAAUUGGCCCCUUGUUAGGAUCGGAGCAGCACUAAGAGGCGGGGGGGGGGGGGUGAAUUAGUGCAGCGGAUUAAAACUUAUAAGUUUAAAAAUAAAUUCAUAAAUACGAGGAGAUUCUGUUUCGAUAGUAACUUGAGUAGAUGAAAACCGAAAGCUUGAAGUAGUGUAAAGAACAAUUUCAGGAAAGUAAGAACUCACACAUUCAAGGAACACGCCAAUUUAAAGUGGUUCGAUCAAAAUGACCUACAUCCACUUGUUAAGCCUUCUUCGAAGAGGCUCCUAACUUUCACUAGCAAAUCACUUUGAAGGAGAAGGACAAAUACUCCUCUUACAACCUUUUACAAGUGGUUCACACUCUUACAAGUUUUCAACGAGAAAGAAGGAGGUGAACACUCAAGCAAUUGAAAAACAAGACUUGCUAAAGACAUUUCUAAGGCUUUAUCUUAAUUUCUUACUCUUUAAAGGUUGUAUUCUCUGUUGAGAAUUGAUGGGUAUUUAUAGGCCCCAAGAGGAUUCAAAUUUAGACUCCAAAUUUUGAAUUCUCUUGGGUUUCCAAGGUUGGCGAUGCCACCGCCUGUCAAUUUCAACAUUGACAGAGUUCUGGCGAUGCCACAGUCGGAACUCUCAGGUUCUGGGCGGUGCCACCGCUCGAACUCUCGGGUGCUGGGUGGUGCCACCGCCCAGUCCGGUGGUACCACCGCUUGAUACUUCAGGCUCUGGGCGGUGCCACCGCCUAUACUAUUUCAGCUCACUCGUUGGGCUCCAAACUUGGCCCAAACUAGUCCGAACUUGGGCCCAAUUGGCCCCUAACCGGGUUAUAGGAUUAACCCUUAAUCCUAACCCUAAUUACAUGCAAACUACGAGCUUAAGAGAUAGUCCUAAGUAAGUUUUUAAUUGGCAACGUCGAGUUUCCUUUCGACGAACUUCCGGCGGACUUCCGAUACACCCUCGGAUUUUUUCCCGCGGACUCCCAAUAGGUUCCCGGUCUUGUGGCGAGUUCAGCGAGUAGCCAAGCCCUCUCGGUGAUCUCUGCGAACCUCCAACGAUCUCUUCAGUGGACUUCCGAAAACUCCGAUAAGUCCCCGAUUUCUUCUUGGUUGGUUCCGGCAGCAUCUCCGACGAAUCUUCGGACUCUUGAAAACCCAUCGAACUUGACUCCGGUAGACUUGCUUUAUGUCUUCAAGCUUUCAUAGUUAAUCCUAUAUACUUAAAAUAAAACUUCGAUCGAGACAAUUAAUACAAAGCAAUAAUUAAGUUGUCCGGCAUGUCAUUGGUCCUAUGACGCUUUGUUCGAUUCUUCGACACAUCGUCCUCUCUUGCGGCAUAUUGCCCAAUUGACUAGUUAACUCCGAUAUCCUUAGUGCAAUACCCACUCUUCUUGGCCUGAUGCUUGAAUCCAUGGCCCGAAGUCUUCUGUCGAUACGUUGAUUGAUCCGCUGGCCCGACAUCCAAUCUUCUAACAUGUUCCUCCGACACAACAUGAUUUUUUCUACUUUAAUUGUCUCAUCUUGAUCGAAGCAUCCUACGUCACUCAAAACACAGAUUAAAUUAUAAAUACAUAUCAAGUGGUUUCAUCAUCAAAAUAUGAGAUUCAACAAUAUCCCCCUUUUUGAUGAUGACAAUCACUUGAUGACGGAGUUAACCUUAACUCUCGGAAUUUAAAUAAACUCCCCCUAUCAAUAUGCCGUAUUGAUAGAAACUCUUGGAUUAAAAAAUCUAAGCAACAUGUCAUGAUCAAAUCAUAACAUGACCUCAACAUACUUCUCCCCCUUUGUCAUCAACAAAAAGGAGAAGUGUCACUUGCUAUGUGUUUGAGAGAUGAAUUCAACCUAUUGCAUGAAAAACAUAAUAUCAAGUUUUAUCAUCAUGCAAUUUGUAAGCUUGAAAAUUUAGCAAAUGCUACAUC
rnacentral:lncRNA from 1 species